UAGUGCAAUGAUAUGUUCUUUGAUUGAAUAUGAGUUCCUUUUCAUGGGGAAAAAUAAUGAACAAAAAGAAAACUGGUAACAAAAGCCUUUAUUAUAUACUUAGUAGUAAAUACAGAUAAAUUGUAUGUGUAAUACAAUCAAUGGCAAGCGUGCUGUAUCAGCCCCCCGUGAUGAUAUUGAUAUCAGCACGGUUGCAAAAGCUUUAUCACACCUUUAAUCUGUAUGACGUCACGUCAUCGAUUGCAGUCACUGUUGCAAAGUCUUUUCAAAACCAUAAUCUGUAUGACAUCAUGUCAAACUUAUAAUCUGUAUGACGUCAUUUCAAUCCUCCUUAUCUGUAUGACGUCGUCAUGUCACAUAAAAAACAUCUACUUGAGAUAUAUGUAUAUAAUAAAGCCCACUUUCUGUACAUUAAAAACACUUCUCUUAACCCGUCUAAAGAGGACCUAGUAAAAGACGAAAUAUCUGCCUCACCUGCAUAUCUUGUUUCAUUGGCAAUCCAAAUUUCAUCCAGGCCGACAAAAUCUUCAGAACAUACCUAUUUUAUCUACUAUUUUAAAAAAUAAUUAUACUAAACACAUAUGAAAAAUUAGCUCAUCAUCAAAACAACAAUCCAUCAUUAAAGAUAAAGGCAGAAAUCCUUACACAUCUUCAUAGGGAUGGGUAUCAGAAAAAUCAAGCACAUCAGUGAAUAAUUUAAUUUUGGAUGUAACGCGUCUUCUGAUUGGCUGACGUUAUUUUGUUAUCAGACCAUAGACAUAAUUUAGUCAUGUGACCGUGACGUCAUCAACGUUUUUUCAAGGCUUUCUACGGUUUAAAAUGGAAUUUAGAAUUAAAUUAUAAGAAAUUACUGUAAUAUUUUUUCUGUCUAUUCGAAAUAACAUAAAAAAUGUGGUGCACACUGUUAAUAACCCGCUACGCGCGUUAUUCAGUGUGCACCACAUUUUUUAUGUUAUUUCUUCAUUUAUAAGAAAAAAUAUUAGUCAUUCCUUAAAAAUCUACACUUUAGAGAAACAACAAUUUUCAGAACUUUUCAAAUAUUGCAAAAUGAAAAACAUUGCACUAUGAGAUAAAUAUGUUUACAACAAUCCUUAGGUAAAUGGUCAUAUAAAACUAUUAAUUCAGAAAUUAUUGGGAGUUUUUUUAUCAUUGCUAAUAAUGCAACUGAGUGAGG
rnacentral:lncRNA from 1 species